AAUCAAGCGUCUUAAGGGCAUUUAGUGGAUGCCUUGGCGAAGAGAGGCGAUGAAGGACGUGGUACGCUGCGUUAAGCCAUGGGGAGCUGCGAACAAGCUUUGAUCCAUGGAUUUCCGAAUGGGGAAACCCGGCCCGCGAGGGUCAUGCAUAUCUGAAUACAUAGGGUAUGCAAGCGAACCUGGGGAACUGAAACAUCUAAGUACCCAGAGGAAAGGACAUCAAUUGAGACUUCCCUAGUAGUGGCGAGCGAACGGGAACUAGGCCAGUGGCUGUUGUAAGAAAACCGGAACUGCUUGGAAAGGCAGGCCAUAGUGGGUGAUAGCCCCGUACGGGUAACUCGAACUUCAGUCCUCGAGUAAGGCGGGACACGUGAAAUCCUGUUUGAACAUGGGGGGACCACCCUCCAAGCCUAAGUACUACUCUUCGACCGAUAGUGAACAAGUACCGUGAGGGAAAGGUGAAAAGCACCCCGACGAGGGGAGUGAAACAGUUCCUGAAACUGGAUGCCUACAAACAGUUGGAGCCCAAGGUUCGUCCUGGGUGACAGCGUACCUUUUGUAUAAUGGGUCAGCGACUUAAUUUAUCGAGCAAGCUUAAGCCGUUAGGUGUAGGCGUAGCGAAAGCGAGUCUUAAUAGGGCGCCUCAGUUCGUUGAAUUAGACCCGAAACCGAGUGAUCUAGGUAUGAGCAGGUUGAAGGUGCAGUAACAUGCACUGGAGGACCGAACCCACGUCUGUUGAAAAAGACGGGGAUGACUUGUGCCUAGGGGUGAAAGGCCAAUCAAACUCGGAAAUAGCUGGUUCUCCGCGAAAUCUAUUUAGGUAGAGCGUUAGACGAAUACCCUCGGGGGUAGAGCACUGGAUGGGCUAUGGGGACUCACCG
rnacentral:rRNA from 1 species